GAUGAACGCUGGCGGCGUGCCUAAUACAUGCAAGUCGAGCGAACAGACGAGGAGCUUGCUCCUCUGACGUUAGCGGCGGACGGGUGAGUAACACGUGGAUAACCUACCUAUAAGACUGGGAUAACUUCGGGAAACCGGAGCUAAUACCGGAUAAUAUAUUGAACCGCAUGGUUCAAUAGUGAAAGACGGUUUUGCUGUCACUUAUAGAUGGAUCCGCGCCGCAUUAGCUAGUUGGUAAGGUAACGGCUUACCAAGGCGACGAUGCGUAGCCGACCUGAGAGGGGGAUCGGCCACACUGGAACUGAGACACGGUCCAGACUCCUACGGGAGGCAGCAGUAGGGAAUCUUCCGAAAUGGGCGAAAGCCUGACGGAGCAACGCAGCGUGAGUGAUGAAGGUCUUCGGAUCGUAAAACGCUGUUAUUAGGGAAGAACAAAUGUGUAAGUAACUAUGCACGUCUUGACGGUACCUAAUCAGAAAACCACGGCUAACUACGU
rnacentral:rRNA from 1 species